UCCUUAGUAGCUCAGUGGUAGAGCGGUCGGCUGUUAACCGAUAGGUCGUUGGUUCAAUACCAACCUGAGGAG
rnacentral:tRNA from 1 species